AAGACAAUAUUGAAUGCUCUUUUUCUGUUUCCGGAAGUGGAAUAAGCCUCGUGGGAUUCCUUGGCGGAGUGGAGGUAGGGAGGCUGAUGCACGCAGAGAACAGGAGAGAAAGGAUUGGCAGGUGAGGGUUGCUGAGGCUGCCGGUUCUUCUCUGCUGGAGCCAGCCUUGUCCAUGCCCAGUCACAGGAGUUCCUGAUAGCGUUCCUGGGGUUUCAUAGUACAGUGCUUCAACAGUCUUCACAACAACCCUGCACGAGUUGUUGUGAAGAUAAACGCAGAGGUGGAACUAUGUUUGCCAUGCUGAGGUUUUCCGAGUUGAGGAGCUGGUCAUACUGAAAGUGCCAUUUCUGCCAGAUGGAGGUUCAGGUGAUCCACUGCAGGGGGUGGGAAGUUCGGGCUUGUUGGAUCUACUUGU